rnacentral:rRNA from 1 species
GAAAACUCACAGCUUAACUGUGGGCGUGCGGGCGAUACGGGCAGACUUGAGUACUGCAGGGGAGACUGGAAUUCCUGGUGUAGCGGUGGAAUGCGCAGAUAUCAGGAGGAACACCGGUGGCGAAGGCGGGUCUCUGGGCAGUAACUGACGCUGAGGAGCGAAAGCGUGGGGAGCGAACAGGAUUAGAUACCCUGGUAGUCCACGCCGUAAACGGUGGGUACUAGGUGUGGGUUUCCUUCCUUGGGAUCCGUGCCGUAGCUAACGCAUUAAGUACCCCGCCUGGGGAGUACGGCCGCAAGGCUAAAACUCAAAGAAAUUGACGGGGGCCCGCACAAGCGGCGGAGCAUGUGGAUUAAUUCGAUGCAACGCGAAGAACCUUACCUGGGUUUGACAUGCACAGGACGCCAGUAGAGAUAUUGGUUCCCUUGUGGCCUGUGUGCAGGUGGUGCAUGGCUGUCGUCAGCUCGUGUCGUGAGAUGUUGGGUUAAGUCCCGCAACGAGCGCAACCCUUGUCCUAUGUUGCCAGCGGGUUAUGCCGGGGACUCGUAGGAGACUGCCGGGGUCAACUCGGAGGAAGGUGGGGAUGACGUCAAGUCAUCAUGCCCCUUAUGUCCAGGGCUUCACACAUGCUACAAUGGCCGGUACAAAGGGCUGCGAUGCCGUGAGGUGGAGCGAAUCCUUUCAAAGCCGGUCUCAGUUCGGAUCGGGGUCUGCAACUCGACCCCGUGAAGUCGGAGU